rnacentral:rRNA from 1 species
UACGGGGGGGGCAAGCGUUGUUCGGAAUUACUGGGCGUAAAGGGCUCGUAGGCGGCCAACUAAGUCAGACGUGAAAUCCCUCGGCUUAACCGGGGAACUGCGUCUGAUACUGGAUGGCUUGAAUCCGGGAGAGGGAUGCGGAAUUCCAGGUGUAGCGGUGAAAUGCGCAGAUAUCAGGAAGAACACCUAUGGCGAAGGCAGCACUCUGGGACGGUACUGACGCUGAGACGCUAAAGCGUGGGGAGCGAACAGG